rnacentral:ncRNA from 1 species
AAAUAAAUUUUUUAUGGUUUAUAAAAUUUAUUUUGAAUUUGUUUUACAUAUAAAUUUUAGUGUUAAUUAUUAAUUAUUUAUAUAAUAAUUAUUUUUUUUGUAGUAAUUAGUUUUAAAAAUUUAAGAAAUUAAGAUUUAGUAAUAUAAAAAUUAAUAACUAAUUUUGUGCCAGCAGUUGCGGUUAUACAAAAAUUGAUUUAAAUUUUUUUUAGUGUUUGAUAAAUAUUUAUUUUAAUAAUUUAAAUUUUAAAUUAUAAAGUGAAAUUUUAAUUUAAUAAAAAAUUAUUUAAAAAUUAUGAUUUAAUAAAUUUAAAAAGAAACUAGGAUUAGAUACCCUAUUAUUAAAAAUUUAAAUUAAUAAUACUUAAAUAGUAAUUAAUUAUUUAUUGAAACUUAAAUAAUUUGGCGGUAUUUUAGUUUAUUUAGAGGAAUCUGUUUAAUAAUUGAUAAUCCACGAAUAAAUUUACUUAAUUUAUUUAUUUUGUAUAUCGUUGUUAAAAAAAUAUUUUUUAAUAAAAAUAAUAUUUAAAAAUUUAAAUUAAAAAUUAAAUCAGAUCAAGAUGCAGAUUAUAAUUAAGAAUAUAAUGGAUUACAAUAAAUUUAUUUAAUUGAAUUUUAAAUUGAAAUAUUUAAAUGAAAUUGGAUUUAAAUGUAAUUUUAUUUAAAUUAUUAAAAUGAUUUAAAAUUAAAAUAUGUACAUAUUGCCCGUCGCUUUCAUUAAUAAAUUGAAAUAAGUCGUAACAAAGUAGAGGUACUGGAAAGUGUUUCUAGAAAGAU